rnacentral:rRNA from 1 species
GGUAAUACGGAGGGUGCAAGCGUUAAUCGGAAUUACUGGGCGUAAAGCGUGCGUAGGCGGUUUAUUAAGUCAGAUGUGAAAGCCCCGGGCUUAACCUGGGAACUGCAUUUGAAACUGGUCAACUAGAGUAUGGUAGAGGAAAGUGGAAUUUCUGGUGUAGCGGUGAAAUGCGUAGAUAUCAGAAGGAACAUCAAUGGCGAAGGCAGCUUUCUGGACCAAUACUGACGCUGAGGUACGAAAGCGUGGGUAGCAAACAGGAUUAGAUACCCUGGUAGUCCACGCCGUAAACGAUGAUAACUAGCCGUUGGGGGGAUUUACCCUUUAGUGGCGAAGCUAACGCGUUAAGUUAUCCGCCUGGGGAGUACGGCCGCAAGGUUAAAACUCAAAGGAAUUGACGGGGACCCGCACAAGCGGUGGAGCAUGUGGUUUAAUUCGAUGCAACGCGAAGAACCUUACCUGGUCUUGACAUCCUGCGAACUUUCUAGAAAUAGAUUGGUGCCUUCGGGAACGCAGUGACAGGUGCUGCAUGGCUGUCGUCAGCUCGUGUCGUGAGAUGUUGGGUUAAGUCCCGUAACGAGCGCAACCCCUAUCCUUAUUUGCCAGCACGUCAUGGUGGGAACUAUAAGGAGACUGCCGGUGAUAAACCGGAGGAAGGCGGGGACGACGUCAAGUCAUCAUGGCCCUUACGACCAGGGCUACACACGUGCUACAAUGGGAAGGACAAAGAGCCGCGAAGCCGUGAGGUGUAGCUAAUCUCAGAAACCUUUUCGUAGUCCGGAUUGGAGUCUGCAACUCGACUCCAUGAAGUCGGAAUCGCUAGUAAUCGUAGAUCAGAAUGCUACGGUGAAUACGUUCCCGGGUCUUGUACACACCGCCCGUCAUACCAUGGGAGUGGGUUGCACCAGAAGUGGCUAGUCUAACUUAG